GGGGCCGUAAAGGUUUCGACGGGGGCUGUGAAGCAAUGUAAGCGAGCAGAGUUCGUCUACACUCUUCAAAAUGGACCGUUUAAAAUAUAAACGCUAACACAAGAAAUAUUACUGUAAGCCACAACAGUGGUUUACAGGUUGCUGCCUAAGUCAGCAUCCGCCCCUCUCAGGAGUUACCACGACCUGAGACCCGGCGUUUGAUUUAGUGGUCAACUCUCUCCCUAAUGUUCAUACGGGAUGAGUGUAUUAUGAACUACUCGGAUUUAUAGCCUGUUUGUCGGCGAUUCUGAUGGGGAAUGCUAAAAGAUAAACUACGCUCGUAGAAAGCAGUGGGAAUCGGCUUUCGGACAGGGGUUCAAUUCCCCUCGGCUCCACCA
rnacentral:tmRNA from 1 species